rnacentral:lncRNA from 1 species
CCUGUCUGUCAACCCCACACACGCUUUCCCAGUUUCAUUUUAGACGUCUCCUGAAAGCUGAGCAUUUGUUAUCUUAAAGCCUCUUACCAGUUUGGAUAGAUAUGGAUCUUCCAAAAUUAAUGAGCUCCUUAAUAUCGACACUGUUUAUCAACAUAAAGGAUCAAUUUAGGAAGAUUAUAAAAACUGAAGUUUCCGGAACAAUAAAUGGGAGAAUUAAUCUUCUGAAUCAAGGACGUAUCCCUGAAUCUGGGGAGCUCUCUAUCAAAAUAUACAUGCUGGAACCCUACCAAAGGAAUAAUAAAUCUGGAAUGAGGCUCUGACUGUCUAAUUAGGAAAAGACUCCUUCCUGGAAUUCUGCACAUCUCCCUACACCUUAGUGACGGUUAAAUAAAUAAUUAU